GACGUAGGAGGCGAGCGUUGUCCGGAUUCAUUGGGCGUAAAGCGCGCGCAGGCGGUCCUUUAAGUCUGAUGUGAAAGCCCACGGCUCAACCGUGGAGGGUCAUUGGAAACUGGGGGACUUGAGUACAGAAGAGAAGAGUGGAAUUCCACGUGUAGCGGUGAAAUGCGUAGAGAUGUGGAGGAACACCAGUGGCGAAGGCGACUCUUUGGUCUGUAACUGACGCUGAGGCGCGAAAGCGUGGGGAGCAAACAGG
rnacentral:rRNA from 1 species